GAUGAACGCUAGCUACAGGCUUAACACAUGCAAGUCGAGGGGAAACGGCAUCGAAAGCUUGCUUUUGAUGGGCGUCGACCGGCGCACGGGUGAGUAACGCGUAUCCAACCUGCCCAUCACUUGGGAAUAACCUUGCGAAAGUAAGACUAAUGCCCAUUGUCAUCCCACGAAGGCAUCCGAAUGGGAUUAAAGAUUUAUCGGUGAUGGAUGGUGAUGCGUCUGAUUAGCUUGUUGGCGGUUUGACGGCCGACCAAGGUAACGAUCAGUAGGGGUUCUGAGAGGAAGGUCCCCCAGAGUGGAACUGAGACACGGGCCAAAGUCCUACGGGAGGCAGCAGUGAGGAAGAUUGGACAGUGGACGAGAGCCUGAACCAGCCAAGUAGGGUGCAGGAUGACGGCCCUAUGGGUUGUAAACUGCUUUUAUAAGGGAAUAAAGUGGGUCAAGUGUGACUUUUUGAAUGUACCUGAUGAAUAAGGACCGGCUAAUUCCGUG
rnacentral:rRNA from 1 species